rnacentral:RNase_MRP_RNA from 12 species
GCUCGUGCUGAAGGCCUGUUUCCUAGGCUACAGACGGAGGACUAGUUCCUCAUUUCUCACGCCUAGGGGAAAGUCCCCGGACCUUGGGCAGAAAGUGCCGCGUGCUCAUGCACGCAGGUCAUCCCGUCUCACAGUAAGCCCGCCAAGAAGCAACCCCGCCAUCUGCGGCUGGCUAGCUGAGCGGCGUGAUAGCGGGGUGUCGUCCGUCUACUGUGCUAGUUACGCAGGCAGUGCGUCUUCCGUGCGCACCAACCAAACGGGGCUCAUUCUCAGUGCGGC